rnacentral:hammerhead_ribozyme from 1 species
AUUUAGCCGACGAGUCCCGAAUGAGACGAAAUGCGUAUCAUGAAU